rnacentral:misc_RNA from 1 species
AAAGUUGAAUACAGCAGGUUCGAAAGCUAGUGCUAUGGCUGUUUGAGGUCCGUGAUACAAUUUUGGCUUGGGCAGCAUCCUCCAUUCCUUGUUCACAGGGUUGCAAAUGUAAUAGGCUUGAUCUCCACCACGGCCUUGACAGCAGAUCAAUCCAUUGCAAGUGGUUCUGAUAUCAACGGGUUCAGGCAAGAAACUGAGGCCUUCACUAGGAAUGCCAAAAGCAGUUGGAUCAAGUGAGAUGAAGGAAGGACUUUCACCUGGGGGCUGACAAAAAAGACCAGAAACUUCCUUGAAUUGAGUAGUUUGCAUGUGAACAAAAAAUGGAUUGUUGAUCCACUGAUCCCACUCUUUUGAAACGGUUUUGAACCUGUACAGUGACUUGGCUGGAAGGAAAGCAAGAGCUCGCUCUUUUAUAACAUCUCCAAUGUCAGUGUUUUUCAUCAGCUUUAUGUGCUUAGGAAAUUUAGCAGAGUCUUCUGGACUUCGGUCAGCAAUAUCAUUAUAUCUUUCCUUGGCAUCUGAGUUCAGCAAUGGCAUACUCUUCCAUUGUUGUAUGUUUGGUGAAAAUACAUCUUCCUCCAGGUCAUCAUCCAUUUCUUCCAGCUCUUCAUAGUCACAAUUGGCCAUCAUCCUUUCUCUCUUUGUCCCUUCCUCUCGUCAAGAGAUAUAAAAUGGGUGUUAAAAAUCCCCCCAGAAAAGGAAUAACACAAAUC